rnacentral:lncRNA from 1 species
AGGGCGCCAUCUUGGCCCCGCGGAGCGUGACUGUCUCGGCUGGAAGCGUGGGAGGCCGGAGGAUCAGUGACUGGCUGUCGUGGACAUGCUCGCUACACCUCCCGGGGCUUCGCUUCGUUUACUAUUAACUGUCGUUACUCCUCUGUAUCUCGUCAGCAGGGGCUGCCUGCGGUGUUAGAAUUACACGCCCCUGCCACCUGGGCACGGAGCCCAGUCUCCCGGCCCCUCAGUCAGUCCUUGGGUGUAGCUGGAGCAUUUAAGAAAAAUGAAAUAUAGGAACUCAGUGCAUGGUUUCCUGGGCCUUUUUAUUGAAUAUCAUUUCUAACAUGUACACAGUAUAACCCAGGCUUAGUGGAUUCCGGGACAGAAAAUGUUGGGAGCUGGGAUAGUCAAGUAAACAAGAAGAAAUGGUAAAGAGAUGCCAAGUGGGAGAGGAAACUACGGAUGCAGAGAGAGGAUCUGGGAUAAAGAGAACAAAGAUGCGUGGUCGACUUUAUGGAAACUCGUUUCUUUUUAAUAAGUGAGGUACAUGGUAGAAGACUUUGACAUGUUGAUUAUGUGACUGGGACCAAGGACAACAACUCGAGAAUUGAUUAAAACUACAGUUAUUCCUUGGUUGCCCCAAGGAUGAUCCUGGUACAAUAUGGCUAUUUCCUUUUCACUGGUUAGCCAAGUGAAGCAGUGGGAGUGGAGAAGGAACAAAGAAAUCUGUAAAGUAGUUGUGAUCAAUUAGUUGUAAACACCACUGCACUCAGACUCAGACCAGCUUGCAUUGAUUUUUAUGACCUAAUCUCAGAGGUUGUACAGCGUCACUUCCACUGUACUCUACUUGUUGAAGCAGCUACAAAAACACCACAUUUAAGUAAAGGGGACACUAAUUGGGAGGAGUGUUAGUCACAUUAUAAGAAGAGCAUGUGGAAUGAGAGAUUAAGUAGAGAUAUUAUUGCAGUCAUUUAAGGAAAAUAUAAUCUCCCAUAAUAUUAAUAUCUGUUUUCCUUUUGUAAAAAAAAAAUGUACCAUUUCAGGCUGAGCAUGUUGGCUCAUGCCUGUAAUCAUAACAUUUUGGGAGGCUGAGGCCAGUGGAUCACCUGAGGUCAGGAAUUCGAGACCAGCCUGGCCAACAUGGCGAAACCUCGUCUCUGUUAAAAAUACAAAAAUUAGCCGGGUGUGGUGGCAGUCACCUAUAAUCCCAGCUACUCGGAAGGCUGAGGCAGGAGAAUCGCUUGAACCCAGGGGCGGAGGUUGCAGGGAGCUGGUACCACCACUGCACUCCAGCCUGGAUGACAGAGUGAAACUCUGUCUCAAAAAAACAAAACAAAACAAAAACUAAAAUGUACCAUUUCAGAUUUUUUUUCUGAAAUUAAACCUGAAAAGGUCAAAAAACACAUAAAUUACAGUCCCUUUCAAUUACUUACCAGGUACAGGUAUUGUUUAAGUCUAUAGAAGUUCAGACUAUAGUAGUUCAAAAUACCUUAUACAGGGCAGCUUAUAAAAAGCAGAAGUUUAUUUCUCAUAGUUCUGAAGACUGGGAAGUCCGGGUUCAAGGUUCUGGCAGAUUCAGUGCCUGUCGAGGGACUGCUUUUUGGUUCACAGAUAGUGUCUUCUAGCUGUCUCCUCAUGUGGUAGAAGGGUGCCUUUUUUAUUAGUACCCCUAGUUUUAUUUAUUUUAUUUUAUUUUUUAGAGACAGGGGUUUUACUAUGUUGCCCAGGCUAGCCUCAAACUCCUGGGCUUGAGCGAUCCUCCCACCUCAGCCUCCCAAGUAGUUGGGACUACAGGCACAUGUUAAAACACCUGGUUCCUAUUAGUGGUUAUUUUAUAAAGGCACUAAUCUCAUCUGUGGCACCAGAGCCCUCAUGACCUAAUUACCUCCCAAAGAUCCCAUCCCCUAAUACCAUCAUAUUGGUGAUGAGGUUUCAAUACAUGAAUUUGGGGGGCUGGGGACACAAACAUUCAGACCACAGUAGUUGUUACAUUGAUAUGAGCUGGUAAGUGUUAACACCUGGCAGCAAUCAGAUACCCAGCCAUAGGUGAAGGCAGGUGAUUAGAAUUACCAGCCAACACAUUUAUGUGCUAGCUAAUUUUUAUUCAAAACUUUCUGAAGCUACAUUCAAAGCAGUUAAUGGGAAAUGGAGUAAAAAAAUAGGCAACCUCUCACUCUAGAUAAUGCUGUUAAAAGUAAUUUUUCCUCCCAGUCCUCUCCUGUAAUGAAUAGUAUAAGAAGGUAUCCUCCCAACGUAGAGGCACCUUGUGUUUCCAAAGUUUUAAUUAGUUGUCAUGAUAAUUUUAUGUGUCAACUUGACUGGGUUAAGGGAUGCCCAAAUAGGUAGUAAAACAUUAUUUCUGGGUGUAUCUGUGAAGGUGUUUCUGGAUAAAAUUAACAUUUGAAUGGGUAGACUGAGUAGAGCAGACUGUCCUCCCCCAUGUGGGUGGCCCUUAUCCAAAUGGUUGAAGGCUAAAAUAGAACAAAAAAGCUGAGUAGAGGGGAUUCCCUCUGCCUGACUACCUUCGAACUGGGGCGGUGGCUGUUUCCUGCCUUUGGACUUGAACUGAAACAUCAGCUCUUCCUGAGUCUUGAGCCUCCUGGCUUUUGAACUGAAACAACAGUAAUGGCUCUCCUGGUUCUCAGGCAUUUGGACUUUGACUAGAACUACACCAUCAGUUCUCCUGGGUCUCCAGCUUGCCAAUCUCCAGUUUGCCAACUGCGGAUCUUGGGACUUGUCAGCCUCCAUAACUCCAUGAACCAAUUUUUUGUAAUAAAUCUCUUUCUAUAUGUCUAUUUAUUCUGUUGGUUCUGUUUCUCUGGAGAACCCUAAUGCCAUACAUAAUUUUUAAAAAAAAAAAAACUCUUUCCUUCUCUGUUUUUCUCUUAUACUUUUGUGAGUGUAGUGAUAGGCCAAAUCACAUAAGUGCUAAUAAAUACUUUUCCAACAAGUACUUAACCUUGUUUAGGUGAUAAUCACUUGUCUUACCUUUGUGUUCAGAAGAAUUCCCAAUUCCAACUUUCUUAGGUAUUUAUUGAAAAGCAGGAGGAGGGUUCGGUGGAGGGAAGAAGAGAUGGAAUAGGAUUUAGGAUCAUUGCAAAGACCGAGGUAGUUGGGGAACAUAAAGGUUUUAUGUUGCCUUUCUUCUUCCUCCUUAUCAUUGAAGGUCUCCUCCUCCCUCCUGCUCCCCAUCACACACCCUCACAUGCCCCCAUGUGGCCUCUUACUAAACAGGGAGAGAAGAGAAGAGCUGGAGAAAUGGAAGUAUUUUGUAUUGGUAAGCCCAAGCAGCAGCAUGCUGAGAAAAGAGGAGUUUUUAUGGCCCCUGGCUACCCAUCUGGAAUAAACAGUUCUAUUUCCAAAUGGCUAUUUCUAUGCCAAUGUAAAAAGACAUAGAUAAUGCAGAUUAUUGUGUAGACAUUACUAAUAUUCAACAAUAUCUCGUUUUCCUCUUCUUCCAGGCAUACUGAAGACUAUAUUUCUCAGCUGCCUUUGCAGGUGGGCAGGGUCAUGUGACUAUUAUGACUAAUAAAAUGUGAGCAAAAGUGACGAGUCACUUGUGGGCUGAGGCAGUGAAAAGUUGUUUGUGAUUCUCAAAUCUCUCUUCUGUUCUGCCAUUGCAAUUGUGGAAGGAGCUUUAUGUUGAAACGGAAGAGCCAAAAGAUUGAAGUAGUCUAUGUCUCAGUCACCAUAUGGGAGGGCAAAUGCCCUGGAGAACCACCCAGACACACAACAAGUUUGUAUGAAUAAGAAAUAAAACUUUGUUGUAUAAGUAA